GGGCUUGACAUCCCACGAACCUGCCCGAAAAGGUGGGGUGCCCGCAAGGGAGCGUGGAGACAGGUGAUGCAUGGCUGUCGUCAGCUCGUGUCGUGAGAUGUUGGGUUAAGUCCCGCAACGAGCGCAACCCUCACCCCUAGUUGCCACCGGGUUAAGCCGAGCACUCAAGGGGAACUGCCAGCGUCAAGCUGGAGGAAGGCGGGGAUGACGUCAAGUCAUCAUGCCCCUUACGCCCUGGGCUACACACGUGCUACAAUGGCCAGUACAAAGGGACGUGAGACUGCGAAGUGGAGCUAAUCCCAAAAAGCUGGUCUAAGUUCAGAUUGCAGUCUGCAACUCGACUGCAUGAAGGAGGAAUCGCUAGUAAUCGCGUAUCAGCCCGGCGCGGUGAAUACGUUCCCGGGCCUUGUACACACCGCCCGUCACACCACGAAAGCUGUCUGUACUCGAAGUCGCUGAG
rnacentral:rRNA from 1 species